rnacentral:rRNA from 1 species
UACGUAGGGUGCAAGCGUUGUCCGGAAUUAUUGGGCGUAAAGAGCUCGUAGGCGGUUUGUUGCGUCGGCUGUGAAAUCCCGAGGCUCAACCUCGGGUCUGCAGUCGAUACGAGCAAACUAGAGUGUUGCAGGGGAGACUGGAAUUCCUGGUGUAGCGGUGAAAUGCGCAGAUAUCAGGAGGAACACCGGUGGCGAAGGCGGGGUCUCUGGGGCCGUAAACUGGACGC